rnacentral:rRNA from 1 species
CUCGCCUGCACUCUGGGAUAAGCCUGGGAAACUGGGUCUAAUACUGGAUAUGACCUUUCUCCUUAUGGGGUUUGGUGGAAAGUUUUUCGGUGUAGGAUGAGCCCGCGGCCUAUCAGCUUGUUGGUGGGGUGAUGGCCUACCAAGGCGACGACGGGUAGCCGGCCUGAGAGGGUGAUCGGCCACAUUGGGACUGAGAUACGGCCCAG